UCUAUCUUCAAGCUGCAAUGAAGCUGAGAGCCACAGAAAACACCUGUACCAUGGUUUCAGGGAGGAGUCUCUUCCCUCAGCCGAAAACAGACAGCUUUGCUGGUCAUCUGUUCUCCACUGCGAGGACGCUGCCACUCAGUGUGGAGAGAGGAAGGGGUUCUGCCUAUGGUGCAAGAAGGUCGGACUCGGCAGUUAAUACUCUUGGAUAAUGUAUUUAAGGAUGCUUAAGAAAUUGCAACAGCCAGUUCAACCUUCAGCAACCACCAUACUGAUCAGUAGUCAUCAACAUUGAGACGAGACUGUACACCAGCAAAAAGAUCCCAACUCAAUGAAGGCUCAGAUGAUUUUAGCAUUUUUUUAGCAAUAAAGCAUUUUUAAAUUAAACUAUAUACAUUGUUGUUUUAGACAAGUUUUUGCACAUUCAGAAUACAGUAAAGUGUAAACAUGGCUUUUAUAUACACUGGGGAAACCAAAAAAUUUGUGUGACUUACUUUAUUGCAAUAUUUGUUUUAUUGUGCUGAUCUGGAGCUAAAUAUAUCUGAGAUAUGCUUGUACUGAUGAUUAUUUUAACACCAAGAUAUAUUUUAAAAUUCAUUAAAUAAAUUUUUAUUUAAAUAGA
rnacentral:lncRNA from 1 species